ACAAGCUGUGGGAGAUCAUAUGUGAUCUCACACCUGGCCAACCUUGUUAAUCUUAACUAUGUUGCUUUGGUGGGCCCUGCCGGCAGACUUUUUGGUUUCCCGGACUAGUGCUCACCAAGGUCAUUUUAAAACUCCAGUUGUUUCUGCUGUCUGAGCAUGCAAGUGCAAAAAUUUAGUUA
rnacentral:misc_RNA from 1 species